CAUCAGAUGACUGAAAGCAAGUAAUGGUCUCUUAAACCACUUCAUAGUAAAUAGCAACUACUUCUGAUGA
rnacentral:tRNA from 1 species